rnacentral:rRNA from 1 species
UGAGUACGAGAUGCUACGGCAUCGAAGCAGUCUAUGUCAUACUUCCAAGAAAAGCUUGCACUGUCAGAAACAGAUAAUGCCUGUACCAUAACCGACACAGGUGGGUAGGUAGAGUAUACUAAGGGGCGCGAGAUAACUCUCUCUAAGGAACUCGGCAAAAUGACUCCGUAACUUCGGGAGAAGGAGUGCCUUAUUUUUAAGGUUGCAAUAACAAGAUCCAAGCAACUGUUUACCAAAAACACAGGUCUCCGCUAAGUCGUAAGACAAUGUAUGGGGGCUGACGCCUGCCCAGUGCCAGAAGGUUAAAGAAGUCGGCUAGCAUUCGCGAAGCUGGUAACUGAAGCCCUGGUGAACGGCGGCCGUAACUAUAACGGUCCUAAGGUAGCGAAAUUCCUUGUCGGGUAAGUUCCGACCCGCACGAAAGGCGUAAUGAUUUGGAUACUGUCUCGGAGAGGGGCUCGGUGAAAUAGACUUGUCUGUGAAGAUGCGGACUACCUGCACCUGGACAGAAAGACCCUAUGAAGCUUUACUGUAACUUGAAAUUGAAAUUGGACUUUAUUUGCGCAGUAUAGGUGGGAGGCGUUGAAAAUAUUCUUGCGGGAAUAUUGGAGCCAUCAGUGAGAUACCACUCUUGUAAUGUUAGAUUUCUAACUUUAUAUCAUUGUCUGGUUAAAGAACAGUUUCAGGCGGGCAGUUUGACUGGGGCGGUCGCCUCCCAAAUGGUAACGGAGGCGCACAAAGGUUUCCUCUGAACGGGUAGAAAUCGUAUCUAGAGUGUAAAGGCAUAAGGAAGCUUGACUGUGAGACCUACAAGUCGAGCAGGGACGAAAGUCGGUCUUAGUGAUCUGACGGUGCUGAGUGGAAAGGCCGUCACUCAACGGAUAAAAGUUACUCUAGGAUAACAGGCUGAUCUCCCCCAAGAGUUCACAUCGACGGGGAGGUUUGGCACCUCGAUGUCGGCUCAUCGCAUCCUGGGGCGGUAGUACGUCCCAAGGGUUGGGCUGUUCGCCCAUGAAAGCGGUACGCGAGCUGGGUUCAGAACGUCGUGAGACAGUUCGGUCCAUAUCCGGUGUAGGCGUUAGAAUAUUGAGAGGAGCCUUCUUUAGUACGAGAGGACCGAGAAGGACAUACCUCUGGUGUACCAGUUAUCGUGCCAACGGUAAACGCUGGGUAGCUAUGUAUGGAGUGGAUAACCGCUGAAAGCAUCUAAGUGGGAAGCCCACCUCAAGAUAAGUAUUCC